GGAGCUGUUAUCACUGCAGAACCAAGGUCACCUGUGGAAGCUCCUUGCUGAAGCCAGUUUUCUAUCAGAUCAUCCAUCAGGCCUAGCAGUCCCUUUUGUACAGACCACACAACUGGUGCCAAUGGCGUCGCUGCCUGACUUUAAACUGUCCUGCCACUAGGAACCCUCACUGUCCAGCUCCAUAGUGCAACCAGAAGGAGGUGAGGUUUUGGCAUCUUCAGGGAGUAUCCUCAGUCUUCCUAUGUUUUGGAAUGAGUUCCAUUUCGCUGCAAAAAGAGGAGCUUCUGGGAUGAUAAAAUGAGGCAUAUCCUGCACCACUACAUGUGUCCAUACAUGAUCUGAGCAGGAAGAGCAGUGGACAAGGAGUCUGGAAUGCUGGCUCAAGUUCUGAGUCAGCCACAGCCUGCUGUGUGACUCUGAGUGAGUCACUAAGCUUCCCUGGAUUCAGUUUCCUCAACAGUCAAAUUUCUAUGGCCUUUUGGGCACCACCAUGCAUGAGAACACAAAGAGAGCAUGAUUACUCAGGGGUGUGUGCAUGUGUGAGGUUGAUUUCUUUAGGUCCCCACCACCCACCAUGAGAUUGGACAAGUCUAGUGGGAAGUGGUCUAGAGGUGAUGGAUCUUCUAGGAUUGCAAUCAGAGCUGGCUUCAUGAGUGUGCACAGGGGUCCCACACAUGAAUGAGUACUUUCCUUCACUGUCUUAAAAUUCUUAAUAGUGUUUGAACAAGGGAUUAGAUAGAUCAAACAAGGCAAGGAGAACUCAAGAAAGUCUGGUCACUUCAGUGAGUGUUGGUGUGUGAGGAGAAUCAAGUGAGAAGUGCUUUUAGAAACAUCCAUGCAGGUAUGAAGGAGCUCUAACAUGCCAGGCCCAUCAAUGAGAGAGACAACAUUUAGAUAGGAGUACUGGACAUUUGAAAAUUCUUACACCCUGUGAUGUGACAUGGAGAAGUGACCAACACAACUUUGCCAACUAUACUCCAUUCUUAGUAACUGCCGAUUAGGAAGGAUUUCUUUCUAAGUCUGUCACUAAUUCAACUGUUAUUCACAAGAGAAGUAGAGGCAAAUGAUAGCAGCUUGAUCGUUGAUUUUUGAUUUAGAUGAUCAAUGAUGUUCAGAAUAGUGUUUGUAUGUGUGAGCAUGGAUGUGUAUGUCGUGUGUGUGUCUGUGUAUGUGGUGUGUGUGUCUGUGUAUAUUGUGUGUGUGUGUGUGCAUGCGUGUGUGCAGGGUAGGUAUCACCACAUUCCCUGUGGUGGUGUGUCUCUUCUCUGGGAUUGGUUCUUCUAGAAUCUCCCACCUUUUAGAACCACUUUAAGAUAUUUAUUUAUUCUCUCCAACCAUCCUGGCAAUCUUUUUAUCCUUAAACAGGAAUAAAUUCCUACAGCUGAAUCUAUUCAGGAUUUCUGUGUGUAUGUGUGAAAAUUUAUAUGAUGCUCA
rnacentral:lncRNA from 1 species